UACGAAGGGGGCUAGCGUUGCUCGGAAUCACUGGGCGUAAAGCGCACGUAGGCGGAUCGUUAAGUCAGGGGUGAAAUCCUGGAGCUCAACUCCAGAACUGCCUUUGAUACUGGCGAUCUUGAGUUCGGGAGAGGUGAGUGGAACUGCGAGUGUAGAGGUGAAAUUCGUAGAUAUUCGCAAGAACACCAGUGGCGAAGGCGGCUGACUGGUCCGGUUCUGACGCUGAGGCGCGAAAGCGUGGGGAGCAAACAGG
rnacentral:rRNA from 1 species